AUUGAACGCUAGCGGCAUGCUUUACACAUGCAAGUCGAACGAGUGGCGGACGGGUGAGUAACAUAUCGGAACGUGCCCUGUUGCGGGGGAUAACUACUCGAAAGGGUGGCUAAUACCGCAUACCAUUAGAUGUGCCGAUAUGGGAUUAGCUAGGUGGUGGGGUAAAGGCGCACCAAGGCCACGAUCCGUAGCUGGUCUGAGAGGACGACCAGCCACACUGGGACUGAGACACGGCCCAGACUCCUACGGGAGGCAGCAGUGGGGAAUUUUGGACAAUGGGGGAAACCCUGAUCCAGCCAUGCCGCGUGGAUGAGAAGGCCUUCGGGUUGUAAAGUACUUUUGGCAGGGAAGCGGUAUCUGAAGAAGAAGCACCGGCUAACUACGUGCCAGCAGCCGCGGUAAUAC
rnacentral:rRNA from 1 species